rnacentral:tRNA from 1 species
GAGGUGUAUUAACACAUAGAUCUGCUAAAUCCUACAACUGAAGAUAAAAUCCUCAGACCUCUUA